rnacentral:rRNA from 1 species
GAGGUGCUUGCACCUUAUCUUAGCGGCGGACGGGUGAGUAAUGCUUAGGAAUCUGCCUAUUAGUGGGGGACAACAUUCCGAAAGGAAUGCUAAUACCGCAUACGUCCUACGGGAGAAAGCAGGGGAUCUUCGGACCUUGCGCUAAUAGAUGAGCCUAAGUCGGAUUAGCUAGUUGGUGGGGUAAAGGCCUACCAAGGCGACGAUCUGUAGCGGGUCUGAGAGGAUGAUCCGCCACACUGGGACUGAGACACGGCCCAGACUCCUACGGGAGGCAGCAGUGGGGAAUAUUGGACAAUGGGGGGAACCCUGAUCCAGCCAUGCCGCGUGUGUGAAGAAGGCCUUAUGGUUGUAAAGCACUUUAAGCGAGGAGGAGGCUACUGAGACUAAUACUCUUGGAUAGUGGACGUUACUCGCAGAAUAAGCACCGGCUAACUCUGUGCCAGCAGCCGCGGUAAUACAGAGGGUGCGAGCGUUAAUCGGAUUUACUGGGCGUAAAGCGUGCGUAGGCGGCUUUUUAAGUCGGAUGUGAAAUCCCCGAGCUUAACUUGGGAAUUGCAUUCGAUACUGGGAAGCUAGAGUAUGGGAGAGGAUGGUAGAAUUCCAGGUGUAGCGGUGAAAUGCGUAGAGAUCUGGAGGAAUACCGAUGGCGAAGGCAGCCAUCUGGCCUAAUACUGACGCUGAGGUACGAAAGCAUGGGGAGCAAACAGA